UACAGGGGGCCCGAGCGUUACUCGGAAUCACUGGGCUUAAAGGGUGCGUAGGCGGUCCAGCAAGCGUCUUGUGAAAUCCCCUGGCUCAACCAGGGAACUGCAGGGCGAACUGCUGGACUCGAGGAAGGUAGAGGUCGGCAGAACGAUAGGUGGAGCGGUGGAAUGCGUAGAGAUCUAUCGGAACGCCAAAGGUGAAGACAGCCGACUGGGCCUUUCCUGACGCUGAGGCACGAAAGCGUGGGGAGCAAACAGG
rnacentral:rRNA from 1 species